rnacentral:rRNA from 1 species
AUUGAACGCUGGCGGCAGGCCUAACACAUGCAAGUCGAACGAGUGGCGGACGGGUGAGUAAUGUCUGGGAAACUGCCUGAUGGAGGGGGAUAACUACUGGAAACGGUAGCUAAUACCGCAUACCAUCGGAUGUGCCCGGAUGGGAUUAGCUAGUAGGUGGGGUAAAGGCUCACCUAGGCGACGAUCCCUAGCUGGUCUGAGAGGAUGACCAGCCACACUGGAACUGAGACACGGUCCAGACUCCUACGUGAGGCAGCAGUGGGGAAUAUUGCACAAUGGGCGCAAGCCUUAUGCAGCCAUGCCGCGUGUAUGAAGAAGGUCUUCGGGUUGUAAAGUACUUUCAGCGAGGAGGCGUUACCCGCAGAAGAAGCACCGGCUAACUCCGUGCCAGCAGCCGCGGUAAUAC